rnacentral:rRNA from 1 species
AACGAACGCUGGCGGCAUGCCUAACACAUGCAAGUCGAACGAGACCUUCGGGUCUAGUGGCGCACGGGUGCGUAACGCGUGGGAACCUGCCCUUAGGUUCGGAAUAACUCCCCGAAAGGGGUGCUAAUACCGGAUAAUGUCUUCGGACCAAAGAUUUAUUGCCUUUGGAUGGGCCCGCGUUGGAUUAGCUAGUUGGUAGGGUAAAAGCCUACCAAGGCGACGAUCCAUAGCUGGUCUGAGAGGAUGAUCAGCCACACUGGGACUGAGACACGGCCCAGACUCCUACGGGAGGCAGCAGUGGGGAAUAUUGGACACUGGGCGAAAGCCUGAUCCAGCAAUGCCGCGUGAGUGAUGAAGGCCUUAGGGUUGUAAAGCUCUUUUACCCGGGAUGAUAAUGACAGUACCGGGAGAAUAAGCUCCGGCUAACUCCGUG